CGAGAAAUUACCAAAACUACGGAAUAUCAUCAUGAGUAAAAUCUUGGCUAUAUAAGAGGCUCAGUCUCCAGCGUUCACUGGUGUGUGUUUGUUUAAAUAAUGUUCAUCUUAUGUUAACUGAAGUUGUUUGUGAGAUUUAAACAAACAAAAAAAAAAAAAAAAAAAACUUAAAAGAUUUUAUUUGUGUAUAUAAACAAAAUAAAGCUGCAAUAGUUGUGCAAAUAGAGUAUUGUUAAUGUGUCUAAAUGUGAACAUUUUAUUGUUCGUGUUUGAAUGAUAUACUGAAGUGUGCCUUCUCUCAUUUCUGAUCUGACUCUGACACUGUUCACUAAGAAUGACUAACAAAGAUACGCAUUACACCUUAAUUUUUAUUGGUAGAACCGGCACUGGAAAAAGCUCAUUAUGCAAUGGGAUCAGCGGCAGUAAUAAAUUUGUCGAGUCCGACUCUGGUAAAUCUGAGACCUCUGAACCUCAGUCGGCCGAGUCCAUACAUUUCGGCGUCAGAGUGACUGUAGUUGACACCCCUGGCAUAAUGGACACUUCUGUUAACAGCGACGAAGCUAAAAGCAAAAGUUUGAGAGAGAUGUAUCAAGCGAUAAGUCUUUGCCCAGCUAGCGGUAAAAGAGCAAUCAUCCUUGUUUUGAAAUAUUCAGAUCGAUUCACUGACGAAAAUAGAAAAUGCAUUUAUAUCGCGGAAAAAAUUUUCGGAGAGGAUUUUUUGGGGAAAUGCUGUAUUAUUCUUUUCACACACGGAGACCUCUUUGAUACAAACAAUAAAAAAGUCAAAAUUACGUUUGAAGAAUGGUGUCGACGUGAGCAAGGCGAAUUAAAAACUUUGUUCCGUAAGUGCAAAAACAGGAUUUUAUUGUUUCGUAAAAACGAUGAAGAUUUGGAAAUGAAUGAGAAACAAAUUGAAAGUCUUAUCGAGAUGACGGACACUCUGGAUGAAAGUUAUACCAAUGAGAAAUUUGAAGUGGCUAAAAAAAAGCACAAACGAUUACGAUUGGAAUCGAUCUUACCCAAUCUUCUGACUAACUACAAUAAAAGACUAAAUUCCAUACAGGGGGAAAUCGAGAAGAGAUUAUACCAAGAUCAAACGAUGGAAGAGUUAUUGGCUUUUAAAGUAGAAGCCACUAAGAUUGAUCAUGAUUUAUCAGUGGAAGAUGACGGGGUUUUUUAUGAGGCCGGAGAGUCAAGUUUAUUUCAUGAGCCUAAAUCAAGGGCUGAACAAAUACUGGAUCAAAUCCAAAAUCGGCUAUUGAACAAAUUGAAUCUUCUUUUAACUGUACCCCUUGAUAAAAUGAAACGCGAAACUGAAAACUGUAAAAAUAUUCAGGAAGUGGACAAGCUAGAAGAAGACAGUAACAACUUGUUCAGAAGCUUUUUAAAGUACGGUUUGGUUAUUGGCGAGGAAAAUAUAUCUAUAGACUUCGAAAGCAAUGUGAUAAAUCUGCAGAAUGAUGAUUUAAGGCGUUUCCAAAAUGUGAUUGAGAUGAUAAAUAAGCUAAAAGAGACACUGAUUGAGAAAAGAAAGAAAUUGAUUUUAGAUCAAAGAAAAAAAGAAAUGAGAUCAAAACUCAAGUCUCACGGGAUAGAUCUAAAUAGUAUCCCAGACACAGAUUUUGGCGUCGAUACACCAACAAAGAUUAAAAAGGAAAUAAGUGAGCUUCAUGAAACCCUUAAAAAAAGUGAGUCGAUGAAGAGCCUUUUAGAAGAGGCUGAGGAACUGGAACAAAAGGCCACAGAAAAGAUACAAAAAUGCAAGAAAAACAAAAUCAAUAUGAUACUCGAUGUAGCUUCCACCGUCACAUUUGGUGCUGCUGGUGUUCUAAGCGGUUUAGCUAGUGCAUCUGCUAGUGGUAUCGCGAAAGGUAUUAGCAGAGCUGCACCUGUAGUUGCUGGAGCAGUAAGAGUUGGUAUAGAAAGGAUAAGAAGGACAUGAUCAGAAAGUUAUGAGCUUCAAGAACAUUGUUUAAUUUAAAUGAAUUUUAUAUAUAUAUAUAUAUAUCUCAUUGGUAUUAACUACUCUAAUUACAAAAGAUAGCGAUUAAUAUUACCAAAAACAUCAAUCUCAUCAAAAACAUCAAUAAAAUAUUUUUAAAAACUUUAUCAUCAUCAAAAACAUCAUAUAAAACAAAAACAUCGAAAUCAUAUAUAACCUACUUCAUUAAAAACAUUACAUUGAAAAAAAACAACAACAUUAAAACAUAAUUAUUAAACACCUAUAAAAAUAUUUGUAAUAGAUUAAAAUAUUUUACCAAUAGUUUUUUUUUUUUUUUUUGUCUAGCGCUAUUUCCUUGCGUUUAGCUUUCUUAAUGCUCUAGGAUCCUAUCACUUAUCUACACCAGCUGUGAAUAGAGGGAGGGGGUAAGAAAGAAAGGAAGAUCUGGGUGAAUUUGACCAUAAUUGGGUUUUAAAAGCAUUUAUAAAAAAAAAAAAAAAAGGGUGGGGGGGGGGGGGGACAACGUGAAAUCGAACUCGUCACUAUAAUAAUAAUAAUAAUAAUAAUAAUAAUCUUUAUUAUCCGUAUGGAAAUGGCACUAACCCAGCUUAUACCACCCCUUCACUCAAGUAAAGCUUUUUUUUUUCCUUUGUUUGAGAUACCAAAUAAAAUAAGUGCUUACCAAUAUUUAAUAAACUAAUUGGUAUUUUUUUUUUAAUGUAUUCUUGUGUCGUCAGGUAAAAAAAUAAUUGUGAUAAAUAUCAGCUUAAUUUCGAAAUUGGGUGUCAGAGAAAUAGCGUGUAGAAACUUUUUACCAGACAGACAGACAGAGGAAAUUGCAAUAAGCUUUUGUAAAAAGAGCGGUCAAAUAAAACAAUUUUUAAAAAAAUAAAUAACAUGAGAACAUCAAAAAUCAGUAUUGCGCUUAGAACCAUCAAAACGUUAUAAACUUUUAUCCGUAUAUAGGACGAAUCCCUACACAGUCGUGUGGUAGCUACACCAUAUAGUCCCUGUUCAAUCUAUUCUUGUCUUUAUCGUCUGUUGCUAUGCAGGACGUUUGACCUAGGACGUAAUGAUCUUCAUUAUUAACAAUCAUCUGAAACUUACAAAACAGACAAACCCUAACAAAAUCGCUCAUUUAUCAUUCAUUUCCCCCCCCCCCUUUUUCGCAUUUACUUGGAUUUACUUACCAAGUUUAAUGACGGGACAUCUUGAUAUGUUUACUUUCCAUAUAGAUGGAUUAAAAAUGUUUGUCUGUCUGUCACGGAUCAAGUUCAGACCUUGCACAAUUAUUCAUUAGCAUAGACAAAACAUGAAUUGAUAAAACAAUUAAACAAAAUAGUUUAUUAAAAAAUAGUAAUACUUUAUCUUGUUUGAUACCAUUAAGGGACAUUUAUUCUUGAUUAUUCACACAAAGGCUUUAAUAUGUACGCUUGGGUUCCCUUAUAGAACCAGUUACACUAUAUCUCCCACACCUACUUUCGAAUUAAGUUCAAUUUAAAAUAAAUAAAUGUUAUCGUAUUCAAGAAAACAUGAAUCAAUUUUAAAAUUUAUUAAUUAGAAAUUAUUAAUUGGAAAUACACAUGUAGUGUCUACAGUAACAACAGAAAUAAUAUUUCUAUUACUAUUAAUAUUAUAUGUUAAGGUUAAUCACUUUUCAAUUGUUUAUGAUUUAAUACUUGUGAAUUAUGAGAACUUACAAAUAAAAACAUUCAAAAAAAAAAAACAACAGAUAUAGACUUCUUCCCCUUCAACAAUCUUUGUUUUGUGAAACGUUGAAUAUGGUCCAUUCUUGCUCCUGUGUUAUUUUGCUUAAUAAUGCUUUUCUUUUUUAAAUGUAGAGCUGUUCUAUAGAGCAAAGAAAAGCAGAUUCAUUUCUCAUGAAAGUGUGUGGGGGGUGAGAGACUAACAGUUAGAUUAUGAACGACAACUCUGCCUGCAGUUCACCAAGCGUUUAACGCUGAGUUGCUAUACUUUGUUUACAAAUCGCGUAGUGUUUUAUUUUUUCUUCUUCUGUAAAUUUAUGUGUGUGUCCCUUAUCAGUGUUCUUUAUUUACUGACUUUUACGUGUAAUAAGUGAUGUUUAAAGACGGCUGCUACAAGUAUGAAUACAAAAUUAAUACAUAUUUAUGAACUAAAAAAAAAAACAACUGUACAAACCUUGGAUUAUCACCACAUGAUAUUGUAAUACUUUCCUCAAAGGUUAAUGCAGUUAGAUUUUUUUCGGAGUGAUCCAUCCUAUGAGAAGCUCACCGUAGUAUCCAACAUGUUUACAAACAAGAAUGGAUAAGAGUAGACUGGAAGUUAACAAAGCUUGCAUAUAACUCGAUUUUUGUGGUACAAAUCUUGUACAUGUUUUUUCUUCCACAUCCUAAGCAUGGAUGAAGUUAAAAUUCUGCACAUUCAAUAAUAGUCGAUGACAAUUCAUGAAUCAAUAAAAAUAAUUUUUACCUUUUUUACUUUUACCUAUCCCUUAGUCUAUAGGUCAGUUGGGACACCAUGCAAGACUCGUCGACCGUCUUUCUCCAUUCCUCUCUGUCUUUGGUCUUAUUUAGAACCUCUUUCAAUUGCAGGCCCGUCAUUCUUUUAUGGUUGUUUUCCCAUUACUUUCUCCAUCUGCCUCUUCUUCUUUUUUCCUGGUCCUGUUCCCUGAAGGAAGGUCUUUGCGAGCCCCUCAGAUCUUGUAGUAUGGACAUAGAUUUAAGCUUGCCUUUUUUUUACGAUAGUUAGCAGGUCAUCAUGAGGUGCAAUCGCUGCAGCAACCCUGUCUCUAAUCUCUUGGUUUGUGAUGCGGUCUUUGAAUGUGAUACCUAGGAUCCUUCUGUAGCAUCUAGGAUCCUCCUCUCUAGCUCUGCAGUCAGCGUACGAGACUCACAAGCAUAUAAAAGUGUGGUCAUGACCAGGGAGCGCAUCAGUGUGAUUUUGGUGCCGAGGGCUAAGCCUUUGUUUUGAAAGUGCUGCUGUGGACUGUGAAAUAUGGGCCAGUAGUUCAAGUUUCAUUCCCUCAUCUGAGCAAAUAGCUUCGAGGUAUUCGAAGCUGAAAUAACACUAGUAAGCUUUUCACCUCCAAUUUUGCAAUACUUAAUUAAAUUUGUUCUACAAAGAAAACGGGAGUUAAAUCUUGGCAGUUAUGGUUCUCCUUCUUAUCUUAUCUUAUAUAAUAGAGACGUUACUUCAAAAAAGAAGAUGAUUACGUCCUACGCGUCAUGCAUGUAGUAAUGCAUAUUAACCAGUCACUUAAAUUCUGCCAAGUCACUGGUUUUCCUGGCUAGCUCAGGCAGCCCAUUCCAUACUCUAAUAGCACUAGGGAAGAAAGAGUAUUUGUACAAAUUUGUCCUAGCAUAUGGGACGAGGAGUGUUGUUAUCUUUGUGUCUUUCUGAGUAUUUUAUUAAAUUUUGUUUAUGUAUUUGAAGAUUCUGGUUCAGGGUUUUAUGUAUAAUUGCUACUUUACUUUUGAGUCUUUUAUCCUGAAGGUUUUUUAAAUUUAAUAAUUUUACUAAAGGUGUUACUCUAGUCAAAUGUGAAUAUUCGUUUGUUAUGAAUCUCACUGCUCUAUUUUGUGUCUGUUCCAGUUUCUUAAUGUUUUCUUGAGUUGGGGGGGUCCCAAACAGAGGAUCCAUAUUCUAUUCUUGGCCUUACCAAGGUUAAAUAACAUUUUAGUUUAUGUUCUUAUUUGAUUUAUAGAAAUGUCUUUUAAUAAGCCCAAAUGCUUUUUUUUUUUAAUUAUUUUUUUAUUCCAUAUGGGGAUUCCAUGACAGUUUUUCAUUUAUUAUAACACCUAGGUAUUUUGCGUUUUUAGUCUGUGUUACUGGUUUACCAUAAUAAGAUAAGUAGAAUUAAUGUGUUUUAGUUUUUUUGUUAAUCUUAAUUAAUUGACAAUUUGUACCUAUAUUGGAAAGACAUGCUCCAAUUUGAUUCCCAUUUCUGUAAUUCAUCUAACUCUUUUUGUAAAAUAUCUGUGUCUUGUGUUGUUUUUAUUGUUCUAUAUAUUAUGAAAUUGUCUGCAAGUAAUAUGACUUUUGUUCCUGAACUAAUGCAAUUUGGUAAAUCGUUUAUGUACAUUAAAAAUAGUAGUGGACCUAAAUAAAUAAGGGGAUUGCAUUAGCUUCUUUCCAGUCCCUAAUCCAGGACAAUUGGUUAGGAAGAGAUCUAAUGUGUUGUUUAAUCUAGUUGGUUUUGUAAUGAUUUGAUCUAACGUUAGGUUGUGUAAAGUUUCAAUGAAAAGCUCAUUUAUGUCCUUACAGCUUUGAUGUUUAUCUAUGGUUAGUGUUUUCCAAUUUAUAUCAGGUAGGUUAAAAUUACCCAUAAUCCAAAACAAAGGGCAUUUUUAUUCUUAGAUUAUAUAACAAAAAAAAGCAAUAUUCAAUUAUUUUGUUUCUUUAAAAGCAGUAUAAAGACAAGGUACACAGUUGAAAAAUAAAUUGUAAGCAUCAUAAUGUGGCUCUUGUACUAAAUACAAACUGAUUGUCUUAUUCUUAUUUUAUUCUAAAUAUAUGCGUCUUUAAAUGUAAAUAUUCUACCAUUUGUAAUAUAUAUAUAGUAUAGUAUAGUAUUAUGUGUAAUACUAUACUAUAUAUAUAUAUAUAUAUAUAUAUAUAUGUAAAUGUAAAUAUUCUACCAUUUGUAAUAUAUAUAUAGUAUAGUAUAGUAUUAUAUUAUACAUAUAUAUAUAUAUAUAUAUAUAUAUAUAUAAUACUAUACUGUACUAUAUAUAUAUAUAUGUAAAUGUAAAUAUUCUACCAUUUGUAAUAUAUAUAUAUAUAGUAUAGUAUAGUAUUAUGUGUAAUACUAUACUAUACUAUAUAUAUAUAUAUAUAUAUAUAUAUAUAUAUAUAUGUAAAUGUAAAUAUUCUACCAUUUGUAAUAUAUAUAUAGUAUGGUAUAGUAUUAUAUAUAUAUAUAUAUAUAUAUAUAUAUAUAUAUAUAUAUAUAAUAUAAUAUGAAUAGAAUGAGCUUAAAUGCUGUGCUGUAUAUAAAGUUUAAAAUGUAUCGUGGAACAUGUAACAAUAUAAUGUAGUAGGCUACAAGUAGAUGUUUUGAGCAUAAUUGUCUUAAUCAGUUGCAUGUGUCUUAUAUCGUGUGUUGAUAUUAUCAUAUGAUUUGUUCCAGAAGCGUAGCUAGCCAUGUGUGGGUGGUGCGGGCUGAACGGGGCGUCAAGUGAAGGGAAGCAUCAAAAUAAGGACUAAAUUUCCUAGUAAAAUCUACGCAUUUUAUAAACACAUGUGUUAUGGGACUUGGGUGUGUGUUUCUAUGGUGACGGUGGGAAAAGGUUGUGAAAUGGUUGUGAAAGAUAAUAAAAGACUUAUAAGUUGUGUAACUGUAAGGCUCCUAGCCACAACACCAAAAGCGAAUUUCGUCUGAAGUCUGGAGCGAAAGAAGCUUCAACGGUUUAUCAAAAAGUUUCUCUACAACAAGCCUUUAAACUUUCCGAAACAAAAAACGUAUAAGCCCUUGAGUUUUAGGCCUAUACGAAAAUCUCAGCCUAAGUUCCGAAUAUCGUUAUCUUGAUUCGCAUAUUUCUGACGAUUGUGGCUAUAUACGACAGGUGACAAAUUUACGAAUCACAAAUUUGGAAAUUUUGAUCAUUGAAUAAGAAUUAGAAAAAAAAAUCGAUUUCGAUUCAAUUAUUGAUAGUUUGCCAGCAAGAAAUCACUUAAGUUUUUUUUUUUUUAUUUAGGUAUACUUUAUUCUCAUUGGAUCUCUUUCGACAACACUUGCAUGUACUACAUUGCUAAAUUGUACUGUUGUGUCUUUAGAUAAAGUAUUCCACCCAAAAUUAAGUGCCUUGUAUCUAAUACAUCAAUAUAUCUUUGAAACAAGAUUACAAAGACAUUGUGUGUUAUCACACAAACUCAGAGAGGAGGCGCGGUGGCAGAGCGGUAAUGCUUGGCUUCUGAACCGGGGUCCCGGGUUCGAAUCCUGGUGAAGACUGGGAUUUUUAAUUUCGGGAUCGUUGGGCGCCUCUGAGUCCACCCAGCUCUAAUGGGUACCUGACAUUAGUUGGGGAAAAGUAAAGGCGGUUGGUCUUUGUGCUGGCCACAUGACACCCUCGUUAACAGUAGGCCACAGAAUCAGAUGACUUUUACAUUAUCUGUCGUAUAGUCCUGUAACACUAUGGUUUCACUGGAUAUCCAAGUUAAUGAUUCCAUGUGAAAUUGGGGUCUUCACAUGGGCAAGCACGGAAUACCAUUUUGGUUGGUUUACAUGAUUUGGACCGCGUGGUUAGAGAAGUUCACGCCAUGAUGUGCUAGGAGAUGGUCGCAUUUGUAUUCUAGAUGAAGGCUUGAGUAAAUUUUGUGUUUGAUGAAUUCUCUGGUAUUGUAGUAUGAAUUUGUGUGUAAUCAUUCUAUGCUAUUUCAUAUGGCUUAGUUUGCCUAUUUGUAACUAUUAUCUUUCUUAAUAAAUACGUAUCUGCCAACACAGUGUUCAACAGUGAUUACUUAAUAUGUGUUGCGGUUGGAUCAAGCAGCUAGCUUAUAAUAUAAUACAAGAACAUUCUAACAAUGCCAGAAGAUGCCCCAAUACAACUUAGAUAACACUCAUAAGCGUGGGUAGCGUGGUCGAGAGGCUAAGUGCGCUUGAACUUGGCUUGGCUCGAGGUUCGACACCCGACUCGGGCAGAGUUGUGUUUACUGAGCGCCUAAAGGCAGCACGGAAAACCAUCUCCUAGAUUCCCCCUCCCCCCCCCCCCACUGGUCCACAAAUGAGAUUGGACCAAAAGCGCUCUGAGCAUGCCAUAAGUAUGAAAGUAGUGCUAUAUAAAAGCUAUAAUAGUAUAAUAAUAAUAAUAAGGAGGUGUUAUAAUUCCACUAGGUCUGAAAGGGGAACUUCACUUUUUUCACAAACUCAGAGGCAGCCCCAUCGGAUCCCUAUCGGAUCCGCCUAUUUGCAAGGAUUUUGAUUGUCAAAAGUAAAAGUCAAAGUGUAUCUCUAUAAUCGUCUACUGAAAGCUAUAAUAAUAAGAAGAAGAAUGUGUUACAAUACCACUAGGUCUGAAAGGGGAACUUUUUUCACAAACUCAGAGGCGGCCCCAUCGGACCCUUAUCGGAUCCGCUUAUUUGCAAGGAUUUUGUUUCGAUUGUCAAAAGUAAAAGUCAAACUGCAGCUUUUCUACCGUCUGCUUGACCUCCACACAGGGUGCACUGGAGAGAUCCUCAUUGACCUCCACACAGGGUGCACUGGAGAGAUCCACAUUGACCUCCACACAAGGUGCACUGGAGACAUCCACAUUGAUCUCCACACAAGGUGCACUGGAGACAUCCACAUUGACCUCCACACAGGGUGCACUGGAGAGAUCCACAUUGACCUCCACACAAGGUGCACUGGAGACAUCCACAUUGACCUCCACACAAGGUGCACUGGAGACAUCCACAUUGACCUCAACACAGGGUGCACUGGAGACAUCCACAUUGACCUCCACACAAGGUGCACUGGAGACAUCCACAUUGACCUCCACACAAGGUGCACUGGAGACAUCCACAUUGACCUCCACACAGGGUGCACUGGAGAGAUCCUCAUUGACCUCCACACAAGGUGCACUGGAGACAUCCACAUUGACCUCCACACAAGGUGCACUGGAGACAUCCACAUUGACCUCCACACAAGGUGCACUGGAGACAUCCACAUUGACCUCCACACAAGGUGCACUGGAGACAUCCACAUUGACCUCCACACAAGGUGCACUGGAGACAUCCACAUUGACCUCCACACAAGGUGCACUGGAGACAUCCACAUUGACCUCCACACAAGGUGCACUGGAGACAUCCACAUUGACCUCCACACAAGGUGCACUGGAGACAUCUACAUUGACCUCCACACAAGGUGCACUGUAAACAUCUACAUUGACCUCCACACAAGGUGCACUGGAGACAUCCACAUUGACCUCCACACAAGGUGCACUGGAGACAUCUACAUUGACCUCCACACAAGGUGCACUGGAGACAUCCACAUUGACCUCCACACAAGGUGCACUGUAAACAUCUACAUUGACCUCCACACAAGGUGCACUGGAGACAUCUACAUUGACCUCCACACAAGGUGCACUGGAGACAUCCACAUUGACCUCCACACAAGCUGCACUGGAGAGAUCCACAUGGAGAAUAUAAAUAAUGGACGGUUUCCAGUCGCAGAUGGUGCACACACCAGAAGUAGAACGCACGAUGAAAACGCUGCAGCGCCUGGCGAUCACAAAUGUCCAGAUUGUUACCUUUGAUGUUUCUAGUUCUAGGCCUAUUUUGUCACAAUUAGGAAUUGGGUUGGGAACGGAUCGGCUCCUAUUUAUGAGAACCUAAAGCAGUGUAAAUUGCGCUUAUAACACUAGAUAUUGUAUAUUUUUAACUAUUAAUAUGGGAGGUUAGCAAUUACAAUAUUUUUAACCUCAGAUUACUAUGAAUAGUAGAUGUAAUUAAUAAGUAAGGUUAGAUAGUAAUAUUCGCUACUCAAUGUUUAUCUUUAAAAUGUUGCCUCAUCAUGUGGUAUGAUGGUAUGCUCUUUUAAUGUCGUUGCGAUGGUCCAGGGAUUGAAUCCUACACACCAUCACUACCUGACACCGAUAUAGUUUUAUUUAUGUAGGUAAAGAGUUACAAUUGACGCUAGAAAAUGAAAUAAGCGAAUAAAUCUGCAACUCUUUGAUAGUGGAGGUCAGUCUAAGUUUCUGUAAUAUAGCUCACUUAAGACAGUUGGGAUAAAAGGAUGUUUAUGUUUGUGAAAUGUUUGACAUGUUUCAAUGUGAAGAUAAUAUAAUAUAAUAUAGUUUCAUUCUAUUUGAAACUUUUCUCAGGACGACAGGCGAUGGCAGCGGGCAGGGUAUGAACCCGGGUCCAUCGAGAUCAUUGAAGAUAGUUUAGAGCACAUACCGCAGUACCAGGCAGUCAUGUUUAAUAAGACAUUCAGGGCCUGCAGAGGUCUGUGCAGACAAAGAUACCGCCUCGACUGUCAUUCAGGUUUAUUGAUGGGCCAGGGUUCAAACCCUGCCUGCUCCUAUCCCCCGUCGUCCUUCGGGAGGUUUGGACUAGGAAGUAAACUAUCUUCAACUCUGAAGGAACAUCCAAUACAUGUUAAACAUUUUACAAACAAACAUAUAAAUAUAUAUAUAUAUAUAUAUAUAUAUAUAUAUAUAUAUAUAUAUUAUAACAACAAAUAUUUAAUGUGUCAUACGUUCACAGAGAGUAGAGAUUCCUUUUUAUUUACCUUUUACAAAAGUAUGUAUGUGUCUCAGAGUUAAUCCAUUUAUCCUAACAAAGGCUUCAACUGACUUAAGUCUGACCAUGAGUAUAUGGUAUUUCUAACUAUAUAAUAAUUUAUUUUUUUUUGCUUCCUUUAUACUAUGUCUUCUGUACUUCCAUGCUUAAUGAAAUUGCAUUUGUAAAAUCCUUAAAGGCCUACAAUUUCUAUUUAUUUGCAUGAAAUGGUUCAUACUUCUUUGUAGACGGAAGAUACACAUGCUUGUACUAUGUACUUGUUAUUAAAGCUUUAAUUAAACUUGUGUAUUCAUUACUGAUUUAUUCAUUUUUAGUUUGUUUUUCCUUAAUUCAUAUAAUCUUUUUUUUAAGUUUAUGAAUACAAAUAUAACUUAAAGCAAGAUACAUAAAAAUAGCUUAGAGAAAAAAAUUCCGCUUUAAUGAAACUAUAGACAUCUUAUGAGUGAUAUAUUUGCACCCUGAUUUCUUGGUUUGUGAGACAGGGUUACUGUAGCGAUCGGAGCCCAUGACGACCUGCUAACUAUUGUGAAAAGACGAAAGCUUAAAACCUUUGGCCACAUUAGAAGAUCUACGGGGCUCGCAAAGACCUUCCUUCAGGGAACAGUGCCAGGGAAAAAGAAGAAGAGGCAGACAGAAAAAGUGAUGGGAGGACAACAAUAAAGAAUGGACAGGCCUGCCAUUGAGAGAGGUUUUAAACAAGGCAAAAAAAAGGGAGGAAUGGAGAAAGACGGUCGACAAAUCUUGCCUGGUGCCCCAACGGUCCAACAGACUAAAGGAUAGGUAAAGGUCAUUGAAACAUUGAAGCAUGGAGCGGGUUGCCUGAAUCAGCCAGGAAAUCCAACGACUUAGAGAGAGUUUUAAUUCUCAAAUCAACAUUCACCACAUUGAUAGGCGAAGGUGAUAAUUAUCUUCAGCUUAAAAAGGCGAAAGGCUGUAAUUUAUAAGGUAACAUGGACAAUGCGAAUGAUUUGAUAGAGUGACAGUUAAGCUAACGGUAUUAAAAAGGCUGAAUGCUAUAAUAGAGAACAUAAAAAGAUAAAGAAGACAUACGAUAAUAUCUUACGGUGUGACAAUGCUAAAUCUGAUAAUAUGUGAAAUUACUUGCAACGUGUCGUCUAACAUGUUGCGUCCCUUUGACUACUUUUAUCAAAAGAGCACCAAAAAACCAGACACUCCAUUAUAACUACUUCAAGUCACAGCGAAGUCUAUCUAUCAAGACUAUAUUUAUAGCUUUUCUAUAGCGCUACUUUCAUGCUUAUAGCAUGCUCAGAGCGCUUUGGUCCAAUCUCAUUUGUGGACCAGUUGGGGGGGGGGGGAGGGGGUAUCUAGGCGUUGGUUUUCCGUGCUGCCUUUGGGCGCUCAGUAAACACAACUCUGCCCGAGUCGGGUGUCGAACCUCGAGCCCCCUACUAGGUAGCCAAGCCAAGCCAAGUUCAAGCGCACUUAGCCAAGGGAAGACUAGAACAGGGCGGUACAAAAACUCGUUCGUUCCUUACUCGGUCAGACUGUAUCAACGCUACUCGUUGACUAUGUCACUGGGAAACUUGAACAUGAUCAAGACAUCUGUUAUUUAAUAACUCAAUUAGCUCUUUAUGUUGUUUCUGUUCUAUUAACAUAUAAGAAUAAAGAGAACUGUCAUUGAAUGAAACUCUAUCCAAAGCUUAGAGAAGAAAGGUAAAGUGAGGGUACAAAGUAAUGAUAACAAAAAAAUAAUAAAAAAAUAGCUGUAGGUAUUCAGAAACAAAAUACAAUGUAUCACAUUAUUUUUUUAAAUUAAACUUAUUCUGUCCGAAUUGUUUUGUUUUGUUUUUUUGUCUGUGUAUUUUUUUUUCAGGCAUUUUUUUAAACUUUAACUUCUGGAGUCAUGUUGAAAUUUUGUAUAAUUACCCAUUAUCGAUGACAAGACACGAAUCAAUAAAAUUUUUAACAUUUAGUUAACCAAUUGGCGGUAAUUAAUACAUAUUUAGAAAAGGGGGAGUUAACUUUGAAAUACUAUGAGAUAUAACAUCAAUAAGACGGUCUUUUCCCUUUAAUCAAUAUAAACUUUUUUUCAAAGUAUUUUCUUUAUGUCAGGGUCAAGUGUAUUGCUGUUUACUGGUAACAGCUGGCAUUGAACUCUGCUGCGCCAUGGUAUAGAACAGCUGUCGCAAACUGCGGCUCUCGAAUCUUUGCCUGCGGCUCUUCUACGAUUUUUUAUUUGUGUGCAGCCAUGGAGUAAAAUGGAGUCCAAUAAAGAAUGGACAGGCCUGCCAUUGAGAGAGGUUCUAAACAAGGCAAAAAAAAAAAAAAAAGGGAGGAAUGGAGAAAGACGGUCGACAAAUCUUGCCUGGUGCCCCAACGGUCCAACAGACUAAGGGAUAGGUCAAGAAGUAAUCCGACUCAAGAAUCCUGUUGCACAAGAGUCCCAAUGUAAAAUUGUUUAGGCAAUCUGCAAACACUGUACAUUGCGACAUAAUCAACUCAAAGAACUGAACAAUGCACACUUGAAUUAAGGAAAAGACACGGAACAAUUACAGCACAAAUUAUAUCAAUCAGAAUUGAAUAAAUGUUGAAACCUUUUUUCUUUUUCGCGAAGAAGAGAAGUCUGAUCAUUCAAUAGAAUAAAUAAUACAAGUUCCUCUUCAGAAUGGGUCAAGACUUAUCGCGAUUAAGAAUUCCUCUUAAUGAGCAGCACUACACCUUUAUUUUCAUUGGUAAAACCGGCACUGGAAAAAGUUCACUUUGCAAUAGGAUCAGCAGCACGAAUGCAUUUGAGGAGUCCGGCUCUGGUACAUCUGAGACCUCUGAACCAAAAGCGGCGGAGUCUAACCAUUUUGGUGUUCCCGUGACUGUGGUUGACACCCCUGGCAUAAUGGACACAUCUGUUGACAGUGAUAAAGCUAAAAUCAAGAGUUUGGAAGAGAUGUAUCAAGCGAUAAGUCUUUGCCCACCAAGCGGUAAAAGGGCAAUCAUCCUUGUUUUGAAAUAUCCAGAUCGUUUCACGAAUGAAGACGAAUUGUGUAUAUAUAUCGCUGAAAAAAUAUUUGGAGACGUAUGCUUUGGGAAAUGUUGUAUUAUUAUUUUCACACAUGGAGACCUGAUUGAUGAAAAAUAUAGUGAAGAAGAUACAACUUUUGGUGAUUGGUGCAGACAAGAACAGGAAAUUAAAAGUGAGCUGGGAAAAUUAUUAGAAAAGUGCAAAAACAGGAUUCUGUUGUUUAGUAAAUAUGAUAACGGAACAAAAUUGAAAAAACAAAUGGAGAGUCUGCUGCGACUGACUGACACUCUGGAUGAAAGCUACACAAUGGAAAAAUUUCGAGAGGCGAAAACGAGGCACAACAGAUUGCGGCUAGAGUCGAUAUUACCUGAAAAACUCAAAGGUUAUGAUGCACAAUUAAGAGAAAUAGAAAGCUAUGUCAACGAGAUCUCAAUUCAAGAUAAGACAAUUGAGAAUUUAAUGUCCUACGACAAGGAAACUAUUAAAAUAUUAGAUCACCUCACAGCGGAGGACGUUGGCCUCUACUACGAUAAGAGUGAACCAAGUCUGUUUCAGGAGCCGAAAUUGCGAGCUGAAAAGAUGCUGGAGCUAAUUCAUCUUCAGAUAUUGAGCAAGCUAAACAUGGAUUUGACGUCAUCUCUUGAAACAUUGAAACACAAAGUCAGAAGCUGUAAAGAUGAAGGAGAAGUGAACAAGGUGAAAGAGGAAAGAACUAAAUUAUUCCAAAGUUAUGCCAAGUUUGGCUUGAUUAUAAACCAAGAGGAAAUAAAAAUAGAUGUGGAUAAUAAUGAAAUACAUCUGCAAAGUAAAGAUUUAGACUUUUUCCAAGACGUAAAGCGCCUAAUAAAAGAACUUGAGAAGACAAUGGUUGAGCAAAUGAAGACACUCGUUAAAGGCAAAACAAAAUCAGAGUUGGAAUCAGAGCUAAAGUUACUUUAUAAGCAGUUACACUCUAUCCCAGACUCAGAUUUCAGCACUGAAAUACCAAUUGAUAUUAAAAGAAAAGCAAGCCAAGUUCUUGCGACUAUUCGAAGGAGUGAUUCAAUGAAGAGUCUGGUGGAAUCAUUUCAGGAACUCGAAAAACAAGCAGCGUCAAAAAUAGCACAAUGCAAGAGAAAUAAAUUUCAUACGAUUGCGGAACUUGGUUUGACUGUAGUUUUUGGUGCUGCAGGCAUCCUUGGUGCUGCUGUCCUUGCUAGUAGCAGAAGUGUCGCCAGAGUGGCACCUGUAAUAAUGACUACUAUUGCUGCUAGAGCUACCGCAAUGCAUGCUUGGUUAGCACCGAGGGAUGUAGCAUCUUUUCUUACCCGAGGUUUAAGAAAUAUCAGAAAUCGGCUUCAGACGUAGAAAAAAACAAACAUAAGUCUCAACGUUUUUAUUGAGUUCAGUUUCUAUCUUGUAAAGUAAACAAACUUGAUCAACAUUA